UGGUGGAUAAACAAAAGACCUUGAGAAGAGCUACUAAAGAAAAUAAAAACUUUUAACCCUUUUUGCUAGUUAAAUUAUUAAGAGUGGCAAUUGCAUUAUCAAGUGAGUGUUUCUGAAUGUGAUUUUAAGGCCAGGAGCUCAAUCAGUUCAGAUGCUCAAGAUAUAUAAGCAAGCGGAUCCGAUAUGGCAAGGAUGCCUGGGUAGGAAGUGAAGCCAUCUCCACCGCUCCAGAGUACCACUUCCACAUCAUUCCACUAGCCUGUCUACUGAUGUCUACUUUUAGGAAUUGGACCACUUCUAGUCUACUACUGUCUAUUAUUAGGACAUUAAUGACAUUUAUUCAAAAUUGAAGCCUCUAUAGCCAAUUCAGAUAUCUCUUUCAAGAGUAAUUCCUUGGAUGCAGCCAGGAUGCAGAUGUAGACCAGUUUCUCGUUGCCUUGCACCUUUGCUUCAACUUUGGAGGUUCUAAUUGAGCAACUUCCUCGGAGACAAAUCCAGCUUCAUCUUAACCAAGUAACCUGACACGCAAUAAAAAGUCCACAACAUA